rnacentral:rRNA from 1 species
CCUACGGGUGGCAGCAGUGGGGAAUAUUGCACAAUGGGGGAAACCCUGAUGCAGCGACGCCGCGUGAAGGAUGAAGUAUUUCGGUAUGUAAACUUCUAUCAGCAGGGAAGAAAAUGACGGUACCUGACUCAGAAGCCCCGGCUAACUACGUGCCAGCAGCCGCGGUAAUACGUAGGGGGCAAGCGUUAUCCGGAUUUACUGGGUGUAAAGGGAGCGUAGACGGUAUGGCAAGUCUGAUGUGAAAACCCGGGGCUGAACCCCUGGACUGCAGUGGAAACUGCCGAACUAGAGUGUCGGAGAGGCAAGUGGAAUGCCUAGUGUAGCGGUGAAAUGCGUAGAUAUUAGGAGGAACACCAGUGGCGAAGGCGGCUUGCUGAUCGAUGACUGACGUUGAGGCUCGAAAGCGUGGGGAUCAAACAGGAUUAGAUACCCUAGUAGUC